rnacentral:misc_RNA from 1 species
UACGAAGGUCUCAAGCGUUGUUCGGAUUUACUGGGCGUAAAGCGUCUGUAGGCGGGGUGGUAAGUCAGAUGUGAAAUCCCGGGGCUCAACCUCGGAACUGCAUCCGAUACUGCCAUCCUAGAGGGUCGGAGGGGAGUCUGGAAUUCUCGGUGUAGCAGUGAAAUGCGUAGAUAUCGAGAGGAACACUAGUGGCGAAGGCGAGACUCUGGACGACACCUGACGCUGAGAGACGAAGGCCAGGGGAGCGAAAAGG